GGAGACAGCUCAGUGGUAGAGCGCGUGCUUAGCAUGUGCGAGGUCCUGGGUUCCAUCCCCAGUACCUCCA
rnacentral:tRNA from 1 species